AUUGAACGCUGGCGGCAUGCCUUACACAUGCAAGUCGAACGGCAGCACGGGGGCAACCCUGGUGGCGAGUGGCGAACGGGUGAGUAACAUAUCGGAACGUGCCCUGGAGUGGGGGAUAACUAGUCGAAAGACUAGCUAAUACCGCAUACGAUCUACGGAUGAAAGUGGGGGAUCGCAAGACCUCAUGCUCGUGGAGCGGCCGAUAUCUGAUUAGCAGUUGGUGGGGUAACGGCUCACCAAGGCGACGAUCAGUAGCUGGUCUGAGAGGAUGAUCAGCCACAUUGGGACUGAGACACGGCCCAAACUCCUACGGGAGGCAGCAGUGGGGAAUAUUGGACAAUGGGCGCAAGCCUGAUCCAGCCAUGCCGCGUGAGUGAUGAAGGCCCUAGGGUUGUAAAGCUCUUUUACCCGGGAAGAUAAUGACUGUACCGGGAGAA
rnacentral:rRNA from 1 species